GUGGGGAAUAUUGGACAAUGGGCGAAAGCCUGAUCCAGCAAUGCCGCGUGAGUGAUGAAGGCCUUCGGGUUGUAAAGCUCUGUCGGGAGGGACGAAAAAGCAGCCUAACAAACUGUGUUGACGGUACCUUCAAAGGAAGCACCGGCUAACUCUGUGCCAGCAGCCGCGGUAAUACAGAGGGUGCAAGCGUUGUUCGGAAUUACUGGGCGUAAAGCGCGUGUAGGCGGCGGCGUAAGUCGGAUGUGAAAUCCCUCGGCUCAACCGAGGAAGUGCAUCCGAUACUGCGUUGCUUGAGUGUCGGAGGGGGUGGCGGAAUUCCCGGUGUAGAGGUGAAAUUCGUAGAUAUCGGGAGGAACACCUGUGGCGAAGGCGGCCACCUGGACGACGACUGACGCUGAGACGCGAAAGCGUGGGUAGCAAACAGGAUUAGAAACCCCUGUAGUCC
rnacentral:rRNA from 1 species